UGGGGAAUAUUGGGCAAUGGGGCGCAAGCCUGACCCAGCAACGCCGCGUGAGGGAAGAAGGUUUUCGGAUUGUAAACCUCUGUCCUAAAUGAAAAGAAGCAGAUGGUAAUUUAGGAGGAAGCCCCGGCUAACUACGUGCCAGCAGCCGCGGUAAUACGUAGGGGGCGAGCGUUGUCCGGAAUGAUUGGGCGUAAAGGGCGCGUAGGCGGCCUGUUAAGUCUGGAGUGAAAGUCCUGCUUUUAAGGUGGGAACUGCUUUGGAGACUGACGAGCUUGAGUGCAGGAGAGGUUAUCGGAAUUCCCGGUGUAGCGGUGAAAUGCGUAGAGAUCGGGAGGAACACCAGUGGCGAAGGCGGGGUAACUAGACUGCAACUGACGCUGAGGCGCGAAAGUGUGGGGAGCAAACAGGAUUAGAUACCCUGGUAGU
rnacentral:rRNA from 1 species